GAAUGUUGGGAACCGAUCUGAUUCCAAGGAUUGAGAAGUUUUGCAGUGGUCAACUGGUAUAGACAUCCCAUUACCACUACUUCCUUCAUUGGACUGCAAGGUAUUUCUGUUUGGAAAAGUAAUGGAGUCCAGUCAACUUCAUUGAUCGCCAAGGACUGUCAAAAUUAUAAAACUUGCUGUGGAGCUCUGACAUGCCAGAAGCCGCUAGAAAAAGAAGUUUGACAUUCAGAAACUUAUCAAGAGGUUCUACUCUUUGGAUAGAGACCAAAAUCAUACUUUGAAUGAUAUGCAAUGCAAGACUCCCAAGAUUCUGGGCAGUGGCAGGGAGGUGCAGCUUCUAGUCUGCCGCAUGAUCACAAUGAAAGCCUGACAGGUUUCUUCGGAAAAGUGGCCAUCCAUGGAAUGAAUGAAAUGUUCUCUUUCUAUUCCACCUCUAGAGACCAUCAAAAAACAAUGGCUCAUAAUGCUUUUAGAACAGAAACUGAAGUUGUAUACUGUGCAUAUGUAAUCCUACACAAGAGGAAGGCAAUGUUUAAAGCUGCUGUCACCUCUUAGGGAAAAAACUGGAAUUCUGAGUCAAGGGAUUGCAGUGGCAAAGCUAGGCUAGGUCUUGGAGGCUGGUGUAAGGCGAUGUGGGUGAAGGCAGGAGGCUGAUGGAAAGACUGGGGGGAAGAAAAGCCGAAAUGGAUUCACGGUGCCUUGGAUGAAGGACGAGAGGGGAACUGCAAGCUCCUUCAACUGGUUCUGUCCGGUGAGAAGUGAUCAAGCUUGGGCUGACAAGAGGCUCAGGGAGCCCUCACGUUCUUUCGCUUUUUUACCUGCCAAUCAAACUGCUACAAGACAACACCCUGAUCUGGCAUGGACAUGUAAAAGCAAUAGUCUUGGAAAAGCGAAUCUACCAGCAGGGGGCGCACCAGCCACAUCCCUGAAACCAGCCGCGCUGAAAAGCCGGUGGCCGCCUUCUCUUCCCCAGAUCUUCUCAACCUUUUCUCUUUCCUAAUCUCCAGGUCCGUGUUUACCUUAAUAUUACACCUGGAUUAAACAGAAAACAGUGCUGUAUUUUGAAGAGCGCCGAAUAUGUAUGCAUUUUGAGAAACCCAAUCUCACCCUUUCCGGGUUCCCAAGAACUAAAACAAGCCAUAACUUGAGAGAAAAAGGAGAACCUUCGGGGGGCAGGAAGGUUGAUUGGAAAUAACUUAAGGAAAGUCUGCAGAAUUCUUUUUUUUACAACUUUUCUGAGUUUCCAGUGGGUAUAUUUAGUGUGAGUUUGACAGUAACAGGCUAGGGAGGGCAGAGAUUGGAGAAAUUGGGGGUCGGGGGAGUGAUUAUGGGAAGAAGGUUAGUAAGGAACAAAACAAUGCACCGUUUUGUAAAGAUAAUAAAUGGAACGUGGCUGGUAGAUACUAUUCAGUACAUUUUCUUAGGGUGAGUAAGGGUAGACCAGGGGAGGAGGGGGCGGAGAGAGUGUUACAGAAGAAAGAAAAUAAGUAACCC
rnacentral:lncRNA from 1 species